UCGGCGUCCGCAUUGUAAUCUCAAGAAGUGUUUUCCGCUUCGGACCAUGCCUAAGUCCCUUGGAAAAGGGCAUCAUAGAGGGUGAUAAUCCCGUACAUGGCAUGGAGCGCCCGAAGCUUUGUGAUACGCUUUCUAAGAGUCGAGUUGUUUGGGAAUGCAGCUCAAAAUGGGUGGUAAAUGCCAUCUAAGGCUAAAUAUUGGGGAGAGACCGAUAGCGAACAAGUACAGUGAUGGAAAGAUGAAAAGAACUUUGAAAAGAGAGUUAAACAGUACGUGAAAUUGCCAAAAGGGAAGGGUAGGAGGUCAGAGAUGCGGCCUGGGAUUCAGCCUUGCUUUUGCUUGGUGUUUUUCCCAGAUUGCAGGCCAACGUCGGUUUUGGGCACUGGAGAAGGGUAGGAGGAACGUGGCACCUCUCGGGGUGUGUUAUAGCCUCCUACUGGAUACAGCGACCGAGACCGAGGACAGCAGCGUACUCGCAAGAGCGGGCCUUCGGGCACCUUUACGCUUAGGGCGUUGGCAUAAUGGCCCUCUACCACC
rnacentral:rRNA from 1 species